GUAGGUGGCAAGCGUUGUCCGGAAUUAUUGGGCGUAAAGCGCGCGCAGGCGGUUCUUUAAGUCUGAUGUGAAAGCCCACGGCUCAACCGUGGAGGGUCAUUGGAAACUGGAGAACUUGAGUACAGAAGAGGAAAGCGGAAUUCCACGUGUAGCGGUGAAAUGCGUAGAGAUGUGGAGGAACACCAGUGGCGAAGGCGGCUUUCUGGUCUGUAACUGACGCUGAGGCGCGAAAGCGUGGGGGAGCAAACAGGAUUAGAUACCCUGGUAGUCCACGCCGUAAACGAUGAGUGCUAAGUGUUAGGGGGGUUUUCCGCCCCGUUAGUGCUGCAGCUAACCGCAUUAAGCACUCCCGCCUGGGGAGUACGGCCGCAAGGCUG
rnacentral:rRNA from 1 species